UUUUCUCCCUAACAGUGCCAACUCCAGAUUCAGGAAGUUCUGCUGUGGCGCAAGGCUACACUGUUUCACCACCAAGUCAGAGUCAAAAGAGUGGGAACAGUGGUUUCAAUUCAAUUGAGAUAGCAUCAAUAGCAUCUGCAUCAGCCAUUGUUUCAGUUCUUCUAGCUUUGAUUGUCUUGUUCUUCUACACCAGAAAGUGGAGCCCAAAGUCCAAAAUUAUGGGAUCCACCAGAAAGGAAGUAACAAUCUUUACAGACAUUGGGGUUCCCUUGACAUUUGAGAAUGUUGUGAGGGCCACUGGGAACUUCAAUGCAAGCAACUGCAUUGGCAAUGGAGGUUUUGGGGCUACUUACAAGGCAGAGAUAUCUCCUGGAGUUCUGGUGGCAAUCAAAAGGCUUGCUGUUGGACGAUUCCAAGGUGUUCAGCAGUUUCAUGCUGAAAUUAAAACCCUUGGGAGGCUCC
rnacentral:misc_RNA from 1 species